UACGUAGGGUGCAAGCGUUGUCCGGAAUUAUUGGGCGUAAAGAGCUCGUAGGCGGUCUGUCACGUCUGCUGUGAAAACUCGGGGCUUAACCCCGGGCCUGCAGUGGGUACGGGCAGACUAGAGUGCGGUAGGGGAGACUGGAAUUCCUGGUGUAGCGGUGAAAUGCGCAGAUAUCAGGAGGAACACCGGUGGCGAAGGCGGGUCUCUGGGCCGUAACUGACGCUGAGGCGCGAAAGCUAGGGGAGCAAACAGG
rnacentral:rRNA from 1 species